rnacentral:tRNA from 1 species
GGGGUUGUGGCUCAGUGGUAGAGCGCUUGCCUAGCAUGUGUGAGGCACUAGGUUCAAUUCUCAGCACCA